GCCUACGGGGGGCAGCAGUAGGGAAUCUUCCACAAUGGGCGAAAGCCUGAUGGAGCAACGCCGCGUGGGUGAAGAAGGUCUUCGGAUCGUAAAACCCUGUUGUUAGAGAAGAAAGUGCGUGAGAGUAACUGUUCACGUUUCGACGGUAUCUAACCAGAAAGCCACGGCUAACUACGUGCCAGCAGCCGCGGUAAUACGUAGGUGGCAAGCGUUAUCCGGAUUUAUUGGGCGUAAAGAGAACGCAGGCGGUCUUUCAAGCCUGAUGUGAAAGCCUUCGGCUUAACCGGAGUAGUGCAUUGGAAACU
rnacentral:rRNA from 1 species